GAAAGCCCUGUGAUGGGAAACUACCACGUUAGGUUUGGAGAGAGAUGGGACCGGUUAUAUAAUAGGGGAAGCAGAUGCAAGCUUUUUCUUUCAAUAGCCGGCCAAAUGACUACAGGAUCAUCGGUCUACUCUUGU
rfam:Solanum tuberosum cultivar DM 1-3 516 R44 scf00038_30, whole genome shotgun sequence.